rnacentral:sRNA from 1 species
GUCGUGAGAUGUUGGGUUAAGUCCCGCAACGAGCGCAACCCUCGUUCGAUGUUGCCAGCGGGUUAUGCCGGGGACUCAUCGAAGACUGCCGGGGUCAACUCGGAGGAAGGUGGGGAUGACGUCAAGUCAUCAUGCCCCUUAUGUCCAGGGCUUCACGCAUGCUACAAUGGCCGGUACAAAGGGCUGCGAUACCGUGAGGUGGAGCGAAUCCCAAAAAGCCGGUCUCAGUUCGGAUCGGGGUCUGCAACUCGACCCCGUGAAGUCGGAGUCGCUAGUAAUCGCAGAUCAGCAACGCUGCGGUGAAUACGUUCCCGGGCCUUGUACACACCGCCCGUCACGUCACGAAAGUCGGCAACACCCGAAGCCGGUGGCCCAACCCUUGUGGAGGGAGCCGUCGAAGGUGGGGCUGGCGAUUGGGACGAAGUCGUAACAAGGUAGCCGUACCGGAAGGUGCGGCUGGAUCACCUCCUUUCUAAGGAGCACCUUCACCCUGAACGGGGUGCAAGGAGCCCGCGUCAGCCACAAGUGCUGGCGGGGUGCUCAAUGGCGGAGACACUGGUGAAGUCGUCGGCUGGCAACGGCCGCCGACCCUCGUACUGUUUCCGGAGUGCUCGCGCGCUCCGGGGCGUGGAUCGGGUUGGUGGUGCGGCUGGUCGACACGUUCAGACACCCUGUUGGGUCCUGAAGGAACAAGCACUCGCUUGCUUCUUCUGGGUCCAGUCCGACCCCGGUCGCUGUUAGUGGCGCGCGGGGUCGGUGGCUGACCGUUGUUUGAGAAUUGCACAGUGGACGCGAGCAUCUUUGUGGUCAAGUUGCCGAGGGCGGACGGUGAAUGCCUUGGCACCAGGAGCCGAUGAAGGACGUGGGAGGCCGCGAUAGGCCUGGGGGAGCUGUCAACCUAGCUGUGAUCCCAGGGUGU